AUAUUUCGAACCGCAUGGUUCGAUAGUGAAAGAUGGUUUUGCUAUCACUUAUAGAUGGACCCGCGCCGUAUUAGCUAGUUGGUAAGGUAACGGCUUACCAAGGCGACGAUACGUAGCCGACCUGAGAGGGUGAUCGGCCACACUGGAACUGAGACACGGUCCAGACUCCUACGGGAGGCAGCAGUAGGGAAUCUUCCGCAAUGGGCGAAAGCCUGACGGAGCAACGCCGCGUGAGUGAUGAAGGUCUUCGGAUCGUAAAACUCUGUUAUUAGGGAAGAACAUACGUGUAAGUAACUGUGCACGUCUUGACGGUACCUAAUCAGAAAGCCACGGCUAACUACGUGCCAGCAGCCGCGGUAAUACGUAGGUGGCAAGCGUUAUCCGGAAUUAUUGGGCGUAAAGCGCGCGUAGGCGGUUUUUUAAGUCUGAUGUGAAAGCCCACGGCUCAACCGUGGAGGGUCAUUGGAAACUGGAAAACUUGAGUGCAGAAGAAGAAAGUGGAAUUCCAUGUGUAGCGGUGAAAUGCGCAGAGAUAUGGAGGAACACCAGUGGCGAAAGCGACUUUCUGGUCUGUAACUGACGCUUAUGUGCGAAAGCGUGGGGAUCAAACAGGAUUAGAUACCCUGGUAGUCCACGCCGUAAACGAUGAGUGCUAAAUGUUAAGGGGUUUCCCCCCCUUAAUGCUGCAGCUAACGCAUUAAACACUCCCCCCGGGGAGUACGACCGCAAGGUUGAGACUCACAGGAAUUGACGGGGACCCCCACAAACGGUGGAGCAUGUGGUUUAUUUCUAAGCAACGCGGAAAACUUACCAAAUCUUGACAUCCUCUGCCACUCUCCAGAUAGAGCUUUCUCCUUCCGGGGAGAGAUAACAGGUGGUGCAUGGUUGUCGUCACCUCCU
rnacentral:rRNA from 1 species